UUCUUACACAUACGAGUUAAUGACGACCGUCUGAUUGUUUUCUCCGCAUUCACCACAUGUGUAAGAUCUUGCUUUCUUCACAUUCACCAUGUGGGUAAGAUCUUGUGAGCUCAGUAAAUACGAAGACAAAACCCCUGUUCUGGGCUCUUGUCUCCUCCUGGACACUAGCCUCUCUCAUAGUCAAUUCUGCAUCCACUCUCUUGCUGCACAAGAGAGAACUCCACACUCAUAGUCGGCAACAAGUCUCCAGAUCGGAAGAG